UUAAAUGGCCGCAGUAAUUUGACUGUGCAAAGGUAGCAUAAUCAAUAGUUUUUUAAUUGAAAGCUUGUAUGAAAGGUUGGACGAAAUAAUAUCUGUCUUUAUUUAAUAAUUAUUAAAAUUUAAUUUUUAAGUUAAAAAGCUUAAAUAUUUAUAAAAGACGAGAAGACCCUAUAGAGCUUUAUAAAUUUUGAUUUAUAAAUAUUUUAGAUUUUUUAUUUUUAUAAUUUAUAAUUUAUUUUAUUGGGGUAAUAGAAAGAUUUAAUUAAUUCUUUUUUUUAUUUUUAUUUAUUUAUAUUUAUAAUGAUCCAUUAUUAAUGAUUAUAAGAUUAAGUUACCUUAGGGAUAACAGCGUAAUUUUUUUAGAGAGUUCAUAUUGAUAAAAAAGUUUGCGACCUCGAUGUUGGAUUAAAGAUUAAUUUAGGUGCAAAAGUUUAAAUUUUUGGUCUGUUCGACCAUUAAAUCUUUACAUGAUCUGAGUUCAGACCGGUUUAAGCCAGGUCGGUUUCUAUCUUUAUUAUAUUAAAAUAUUUUAGUACGAAAGGACCAAAUAUUAAUUAUAUUAAUUUUAUUUUUGAAUAAUAUU
rnacentral:rRNA from 1 species